AUUGAACGCUGGCGGCGUGCCUAACACAUGCAAGUCGAGCGGUAACAGGUGUAGCAAUACAUGCUGACGAGCGGCGAACGGGUGAGUAAUGCUUCGGAAUCUACCUUAUGGUGGGGAAUAACUAGCCGAAAGGUUAGCUAAUACCGCAUACGUCCUACGGGAGAAAGCAGGGGAUCGCAAGACCUUGCGCCAAAAGAUGAGCCGAAGUCGGAUUAGCUAGUUGGUAGGGUAACGGCCUACCAAGGCGACGAUCCGUAGCUGGUCUGAGAGGACGACCAGCCACGCUGGGACUGACACACGGCGCAGAAGCCUACGGGAGGCAGCAGUGGGGAAUAUUGGACAAUGGGGGAAACCCUGAUCCAGCGACGCCGCGUGUGUGAAGCAGGCCUGCGGGUUGUAAAGCACUUUUAGUGGGGAUGAAAUGUGCAGGGUUAAUACCUCUGCAUUUUGACCUAACCCACAGAAAAAGCACCGGCUAACUCUGUGCCAGCCGCCGCCGUAA
rnacentral:rRNA from 1 species